CCGCGCGCGUUUCUCUCUCGCCAGCCUGCGAAUGCGGCAAAACAACGUCGAUGAAGCGAUUCAAUAUGUCGCCCCGGCGCUGGCCUUUUAUCAACAGGGA
rnacentral:misc_RNA from 1 species